rnacentral:rRNA from 1 species
UACGUAGGGUGCGAGCGUUGCCCGGAUUUAUUGGGCGUAAAGGGCGCGUAGGCGGCCACGUGCGUCCGUUGUGAAAUCGCCCGGCUCAACUGGGCGGGGUCAGCGGAUACGGCGUGGCUGGAGCAAGCUAGGGGGCAAUGGAAUUCCCGGUGUAGUGGUGGAAUGCGUAGAUAUCGGGAGGAACACCAGUGGCGAAGGCGACUUCCUGGCCUGUUCUUGACGCUGAGGCGCGAAAGCUAGGGGAGCAAACGGG